rnacentral:rRNA from 1 species
AGUGAACGCUGGCGGUAGGCCUAACACAUGCAAGUCGAACGGCAGCACAGUAAGAGCUUGCUCUUACGGGUGGCGAGUGGCGGACGGGUGAGGAAUACAUCGGAAUCUACUUUUUCGUGGGGGAUAACGUAGGGAAACUUACUCUAAUACCGCAUACGACCUACGGGUGAAAGCAGGGGAUCUUCGGACCUUGCGCGAAUGAAUGAGCCGAUGUCGGAUUAGCUAGUUGGCGGGGUAAAGGCCCACCAAGGCGACGAUCCGUAGCUGGUCUGAGAGGAUGAUCAGCCACACUGGAACUGAGACACGGUCCAGACUCCUACGGGAGGCAGCAGUGGGGAAUAUUGGACAAUGGGCGCAAGCCUGAUCCAGCCAUACCGCGUGGGUGAAGAAGGCCUUCGGGUUGUAAAGCCCUUUUGUUAGGAAAGAAAAGCAGCAGGUUAAUACCCCGCUGUUCUGACAGUACCCAAAGAAUAAGCACCGGCUAACUUCGUG